rnacentral:tRNA from 1 species
UCCCUGGCAGUCCAUUGGUUAAGACUCUGAGCUUCCUCUGUAGGGGCCACAGGUUCGAUCCCUGUUCAGGGAA